rnacentral:rRNA from 2 species
UGGGGAAUAUUGGGCAAUGGGGGGAACCCUGACCCAGCAACGCCGCGUGAAGGAAGAAGGUUUUCGGAUUGUAAACUUCUGUCCUUGGUGAAGAGGAAGAGACGGUAGCCAAGGAGGAAGCCCCGGCUAACUACGUGCCAGCAGCCGCGGUAAUACGUAGGGGGCGAGCGUUGUCCGGAAUGAUUGGGCGUAAAGGGCGCGUAGGCGGCCUGUUAAGUCUGGAGUGAAAUUCCUGCUUUCAAGGUAGGAAGUGCUUUGGAAACUGGCGGGCUGGAGUGCAGGAGAGGUUAGCGGAAUUCCCGGUGUAGCGGUGAAAUGCGUAGAGAUCGGGAGGAACACCAGUGGCGAAGGCGGCUAACUGGACUGUAACUGACGCUGAAGCGCGAAAGUGUGGGGAGCAAACAGG